rnacentral:tRNA from 1 species
GGAGAGGUGACAGAGUGGCCGAUUGUGCCGGUCUCGAAAACCGGUGUACCGGAAACGGUACCGGGGGUUCGAAUCCCCCCCUCUCCG